GACGAACGCUGGCGGCGUGCUUAACACAUGCAAGUCGAACGGAAAGGCCCUGCUUUUGUGUGGUGCUCGAGUGGCGAACGGGUGAGUAACACGUGAGUAACCUGCCUUUGACUUUGGGAUAACUUCAGGAAACUGGGGCUAAUACCGGAUAGGAGCUCCUGCUGCAUGGUGGGGGUCGGAAAGUUUCGGCGGUUGGGGAUGGACUCGCGGCUUAUCAGCUUGUUGGUGGGGUAGUGGCUUACCAAGGCUUUGACGGGUAGCCGGCCUGAGAGGGUGACCGGCCACAUUGGGACUGAGAUACGGCCCAGACUCCUACGGGAGGCAGCAGUGGGGAAUAUUGCACAAUGGGCGGAAGCCUGAUGCAGCAACGCCGCGUGCGGGAUGACGGCCUUCGGGUUGUAAACCGCUGUCGCCUGUGACGAAGCGUGAGUGACGGUAAUGGGUAAAGAAGCACCGGCUAACUACGUG
rnacentral:rRNA from 1 species